UUAAGUUCAGCGGGUAGUCCUACUCGAUUUGAGGUCAAGUUGUCAGCCAUGUCCGAAGACGAUUGGAAGCACAGAGCCCUGAUCAGCCACCCUCUAGUGAGGCGCCAGCGAAGAUACUUAUCACGCCGUACUAUGUCUAACCAACGGUUGCACUAACACAUUUGAGGUGAGCCACGGUAAGCAGCAGCACCCAAGUCCAC
rnacentral:misc_RNA from 1 species